UUUUUUUAGUUCAAUAUUUGUUGGAAUUGACACUUUAUAUCCAGAUAGAUCGUAUUUUGUAAAUUUGAAAUUCUUUCUUUUGUAUUCUUUAAUGACCAACAAUUGGAUUUCUUAAUUAAAUACUGAGAACUAGCCAAUUUAUCCUUUGCCAGUCAUUUUUUUUAUCAUCCUAAUAUCUUUCCCUCAAUUAUUCUAUUCCUGACUAUGGGUAAUCAAUGAAAUUUUUUCGAAAUAUUGGAUAUUUUGAUAGCAAAGGAGUUCUUUCGUCUCAAAAUCUCAAUU
rnacentral:lncRNA from 1 species